UCAGGACUCAAUAAAAUAAACAGCUGGAAAUAAGCAGACUACUGUAAGAGUGAAUUGAAAAGAAAACCCAAGGUCACAUCUCCCAAGAAGCAGUAAUGUUCCAGCAAUAAGAAAAGGACAGUUUUUUGUCUUUUGCAUGGUGAGCCUUAUAUGAAUUACAUCAAUUUUGUCACCAAUAUCCAUCAUCAGAUCAUUCUGAUUCUACAUAACACAUUGCAAAUGGUCACAACAAUCAAGACUACACCCAUAGAUGUCCCAGAAAUAAUAUCCGACUAUACAGAGCAGCAUUACCAAACCACCAAGAAGUCUGCCUAGUAGUAACAGUGAUAACAACAGCUAACACUUAUCAACAGAGCAGAGGAACAGAGCCACAGAUAACUGAAAACCACUUUGGCACUGAGGAGGUCUGCAGACAAGAUCUGGAAGGGAAUCUAGAAAAAUGACAACUUUGGAAUAAUGGAUACCUUCUGUUUUCUUAUUGCUUUUAUUUUUGUCAUGAUAAAUGUUAAGGGUAAAAAGAAAAUUCACAUUGUUUGUGCCUAUGUGAACAGUGGUACUCAGUCAACUUAGGUUUUACUCAAUAGCAUGUUGUUAAUUAAUCUUCCAAAUUGUUGGGGUAUUUUAUAUGAAGUAGCCCCUACCCCUACCUUGUCCUUUUCCCAGACUUGAUUCCUAGAUAAUCACUUCCAUCAAUUACGAGAUAAUCACUUGCCUUACUGACAGACUCAGAGGAAGCGAUCAGUUUUUUGGGUAGAAUGAAGGGACAAGUAGCGAACUGGCAUCCGGGAUGCUGCCUAGAACGCUGUCCAUUUAAGAAGACACCCAGGUGAUACGCAAUGCACAAAAAGCAUGGAACUCCCAGCAGGCAAGCACUGCAGUCUGUAAACCCUCUAUUGAGGAAGGCCAUGGCAUGUCUACCAGGGACACAGAUUUGGGAGGCAGAACACAGACAGGGUGAGGGUGAAAGGCAAUGGCUACCUGGCCACGUCAGCCGAACCAACUCCAAAAAUCAAUGCGAUGACAGUGGCUACGGGCAGCUCACUCUCACGUUAUAACCUGGGAUGGCAUAGGCCAGACAGAUUAUUUCAUUUUGUUUUGUUUUUCAUUAUUUUUAUUUACUUUUUUGAA